CGAACCGUACAAACGUUAUUCGGAAUCACUGGGCUUAAAGGGUGCGUAGGCGGCGCUGAAAGUUGGGUGUGAAAUCCCUCGGCUCAACCGAGGAACUGCGCCCAAAACUACAGUGCUUGAGGGAGAUAGAGGUGAGCGGAACUUAGGGUGGAGCGGUGAAAUGCGUUGAUAUCCUAAGGAACGCCAGGGGCGAAAGCGGCUCACUGGGUCUCUUCUGACGCUGAGGCACGAAAGCUAGGGUAGCGAACGGGAUUAGAUACCCCGGUAGUCCUAGCCGUAAACGAUGAGUACUAGAUGGAAGGGCCCUCCAUAGCCUUUCCAUCGAAGCGAAAGUGUUUAGUACUCCGCCUGGGGAGUAUGGUCGCAAGGCUG
rnacentral:rRNA from 1 species